rnacentral:rRNA from 1 species
AACGACUCUCGGCAACGGAUAUCUCGGCUCUCGCAUCGAUGAAGAACGUAGCGAAAUGCGAUACUUGGUGUGAAUUGCAGAAUCCCGUGAACCAUCGAGUUUUUGAACGCAAGUUGCGCCCGAGGCUUUUGGCUGAGGGCACGUCUGCCUGGGCG